AUGUCGUACUCGGACGACGAAAAUCGCCCGGGGAGUACGACUGGUGCCACGAUGACCGAGGUAUGUGCGACAGGUUCAUUGAGCUGGACGAAGAUUGACGCUUCAGCAUUAAGCUCGAGGAGACCUUCGAUGUUCAUACGAUUAUCUCAUGCUAUGCAAAACGCUAUGUCUUGGAGAGGAUGGGUUUUGAAGACCAUGAAAGUAUGGAAACCAAAACAAAUUCUCCUAAGGACCCAUCAUGGUAUGGAUUUUCAAGUAAAGUUGUAUAAGAAAGCAAAAAGAAUAGCAAAAAUUGGAAAGCACUUUGCAAGAUGUAUGGUUUUGAUGAGGGUAUGCUUGUCACCAUGGAUCUUGGUGAUCCUACAAUCGAGCAAGACAGACCUUCGAUUUGGGUCCUUGUGGAUACACCUCCAAUUCUUCCCCCAUAAUGUGCGGAAGAUGGUAGACAAAACCCACUACACCGAUGGCUCCAAAUUAACUUAUAGGGAGAAAAAUCAUCUGAUCGCAUUUUGUACUGAUCUUGAGAAUUACAAUGUCUACAAUCGAACUCCUCAACAUUAUGGUCAAUACAUGCCAUUAGUGCACGUGUUGAACUACGGUAACUACCAUGGAGAUACCCUGAUAAUCCCGAAUGAUUGUGUGCCUCAUCUGAUGUAUACGGACGGUAGCCUUCAUGUUUUGAACAUACAACCGGGUCUUCCUACGAAUCUGAACUGUCCAUACCGGGUUUCUAAAAGAAGUGAAGACAUGACAAUCAAAGAAUGGAGAAAAUGUAUGGACAAUCGUAAGGAGCUUCUUGGAAGCAAAAGGCAGCGAAGCGCAAGAAUUGGAGACAGGAUGAUCUUCAUUCUUCAUAAUGGAGAGUCUGGGUCUAUAUUAUUUUAUGCUAUUUUACCUUAA
rnacentral:rRNA from 1 species